GACAGAGGGUGCUAGCGUUGUUCGGAAUUACUGGGCGUAAAGGGCGCGUAGGCGGCUUGUUUAGUCGGGUGUGAAAUCCUGGAGCUCAACUCCAGAACUGCCUUUGAUACUGAAAGUCUUGAGUAUGGGAGAGGUGAGUGGAACUGCGAGUGUAGAGGUGAAAUUCGUAGAUAUUCGCAAGAACACCAGUGGCGAAGGCGGCUCACUGGCCCAUUACUGACGCUGAGGCACGAAAGCGUGGGGAGCAAACAGGG
rnacentral:rRNA from 1 species